UACAGAGGGGGCAAGCGUUAUUCGGAAUUACUGGGCGUAAAGGGCUCGUAGGUGGCCAACUAAGUCAGACGUGAAAUCCCUCGGCUUAACCGGGGAACUGCGUCUGAUACUGGAUGGCUUGAGUUUGGGAGAGGGAUGCGGAAUUCCAGGUGUAGCGGUGAAAUGCGUAGAUAUCUGGAGGAAUACCGGUGGCGAAGGCGGCAUCCUGGACCAUUACUGACGCUGAGGCGCGAAAGCUAGGGGAGCAAACGGG
rnacentral:rRNA from 1 species